rnacentral:miRNA from 1 species
UAGAAUUCAACUUGUGACUAG